UACGGGGGGAGCAAGCGUUGUUCGGAUUUACUGGGCGUAAAGGGCGCGUAGGCGGUCGUGACAAGUCACUUGUGAAAUCUCCGGGCUUAACUCGGAACGGUCAAGUGAUACUGUCGGACUAGAGUACAGAAGGGGCAACUGGAAUUCUCGGUGUAGCGGUGAAAUGCGUAGAUAUCGAGAGGAACACCUGCGGCGAAGGCGGGUUGCUGGGCUGAUACUGACGCUGAGGCGCGAAAGUCAGGGGAGCGAACAGG
rnacentral:rRNA from 1 species